rnacentral:tRNA from 1 species
GCCGCCUUCGUCUAGUGGUUAGGACACCAGGUUNNGGUAACAGGGGUCCGAUUCCCCUAGGCGGUACCA